GACGAACGCUGGCGGCGUGCCUAAUACAUGCAAGUCGAGCGAAGUUUUUCUGGUGCUUGCACUAGAAAAACUUAGCGGCGAACGGGUGAGUAACACGUAAAGAACCUGCCUCAUAGACUGGGACAACUAUUGGAAACGAUAGCUAAUACCGGAUAACAGUAUUUCUCGCAUGAGAGAUAUUUAAAAGUUGGUUAUGCUAACACUAUGAGAUGGCUUUGCGGUGCAUUAGCUCGUUGGUGGGGUAAAGGCCCACCAAGGCGACGAUGCAUAGCCGACCUGAGAGGGUGAUCGGCCACACUGGGACUGAGACACGGCCCAGACUCCUACGGGAGGCAGCAGUAGGGAAUCUUCCGCAAAGGGCGAAAGCCUGACGGAGCAACGCCGCGUGAGUGAAGAAGGAUUUCGGUUCGUAAAGCUCUGUUGUUAGGGAAGAAUGGAUAUGUAGUAACUAUACAUGUAAGAGACGGUACCUAACCAGAAAGCCACGGCUAACUACGUG
rnacentral:rRNA from 1 species